rnacentral:tRNA from 1 species
GGGGAUUUAGCUCUAGGGUAGAGCACUUGCCUGGAGAACCCAAGGCCCUGGGUUUGAAUCCCAGAACAACCA